UUUAUUUUAAAAUUGGAGUGGAAGUAAGAAAUUGAGAGGACAUGUGGAAGAAUUUUUUUAAUAAAAAAUAUGAGCUUUUAUGAGAUCAAUAUGAUUACACAAUGGUAGCUAUAGUAAUAGUAAUAACAAUAUCUACUCUGAGCACUGAGGUCAACAGAAUUAGUUAAGCGUUUAUAGAAGAAAUGUAUAGGAAUGUAAGUCAGGAAGGUUUCUUUGAUCUGAAAUUGAGCAAAUGUGUUCUAACAUCUUGUCUCAGUGUUGAAAGCAGCAGGCCUAACUACAUGCUGGAGAAAAAUAUUUCACUAGUUUUCCACAGACAGCCUUCACCAGGGCGCUAUCAAAGCCAAACUCAAAACUGUGUGGUCAGGCUUUAAAAGCAUCAUUGCUACAUGACAAAAAGUCUUUCAUAAAUGCCAAAUGUACCAUGGUUUAACCGCUUACCAAGUGGCCUUCUGUAGUGUAAUGCAACAUUAAUCAUAUCAAACAGAGAAAAGAAUUCAGAGCUAAACCUGUCUUUUUAUGUGUCAAUUGAAAUACUUGGCUUGAUUUAAUUAGUCUCAGUUGCUUUUGAUGGAAGGCUAGGGAGAUCGUGAGGAAGUUGCCUGGUACAUUAUUAAUUCUCCACAUCUUUAUUGUCGUGCCAACCCUAUUUAUCCCAUUUCGAAUUCUCCAUGUCCCCUUCCCUGGCAGUGACAGCUGUUAAGGCUGUUGUGGCCACUUUUUUUUUUUUCUUUCCUGUUAAGAGGGCAAGCAAGCAGUUGCUGUUCUUUCCAAUGCCCAGUAAAGGAGCAGUGGGAGCCUAGUGGCUGAGCGGGCCCCUCUCAGUGUGUCAGGGUCUCUCCUUUGGGAAGUGAUCAAGUCCUCACUCAAGAAGCUGGACUUUGACAUUGUUCUUUGACUUGACAACCUAAAAUCCUUCUCUGCUUUCCUGGAUGAGCCUGUAAUGACCUCUUUCUAAAGUCAAAAUAUUGACUAUUACUUACACAUUCAAUCACACGUUGUCACAUUUGAGCAGCAGUGUUUUCCUCCCAGAAUUCUGUGGAUGCCCUUGCCCAUUCAUGUUCUGCUUAUUGCAUUCCUGCACAUAUCCAUGGUGUGUGUGUCUGUACAAAUCUGAAGAAUGAUCACUUGCAGGUAACCAUGAUGGAUCAAGAUACUACAUGGCACUCUCAUGCCUAGAAUAAUAAUUUUUCUUCCAGUUUCAAUAAAAAUCAGUGAUUUUCUUAUGUAAGUGAAAUUUUCAUGCUUCUCACAUUUUUAUUUUAUUGACUUCCAGCUCCAGAUUUCUCUUUUACUGAGGCACCCUCCCCAUCAAUUGCAAACUGUCAACCAAGUUUACACAAUAUUGCCUUCCUUCCAUCACUGAGUCCCAUUCAACUAAAUACAUCAUACAGAAACAUCAGAACUAGGAAGAAUCACCAUGGAAAAAUAAUAUUAAGGCAGAGUUGAGUAAAUCACCCAUAUCUGAGUUCAUUAGAAUGAAGAAUUAAAAUACUUUUCCAGCUUAUCACCAGGGACUCACUAACAAGCCACAAUAACCCAGUUUUCUAGCCCUGCUUAGAAGUGCUGAUUGCCACCAGAGACUAAGGUCAAAUGCCAGAAGCCACAAACUCCAAAUAAGCCUCCAUGACCCAAUUUUUGACUGGUUUGAUCCAGUUCAGACUCUGUGCUAACCCUCCAGAUGACCGUGGGAUUAUUACCACCUGCAGUAAAACCUUGGAUUGCGAGUAACUUGUUCUGCAAGUGUUCCACAACAUGAGCAAACAUUUCUAAUAAAUUUUAACUUGAUAAACGA